CUCAAGGUAUCUGAAUACGCUUACAAGGAUUGGAACAUGAAAGUGUUGUGUGAUGGGUUCCCCCUGCCUCGAAGCCCUCUCCCUCAAAAACAUGCUUUACUUGAGUAGUAUCGAUAUAGAAGAAGGUGGAAUGCCGCACCUCAAGCAUCUCCGGAUCCAUAAAUGCGAGAAGCUGGAUGCUAAGAAUCUGUGGGAGCACAUCAAGACCACAACAGUGUAUAAUUAGUUAUAAGGCAGAUUGCGUAGUUACAAACUUGCAAUGCAUAACUUUGUCUCUGUUUUGCGUUAUAUUAUAUUUUGCGUUUAUGUGGUUCGAUAACAUUUUCAGCUGCAUCUGCAGUAUGUAUCUCCAACGGAUCGGGUUCAUUGCUGUAGCUAAAAGGGGGUUAUAGCCUUCAAGAAAUUCCUGCAAGAAGGUAACAGUUUAAGGAGAGAUUGAACUUGUUGUUUGUCGAUAGAAUUUGGAGAGGAAAGGUGGUGCUCGAUUUGAUCGAUGAUAUGCGCAAGAGAAACUAAUAGGCUGCCACGAUUAAUCUCAGUUGAAGGGAAAAACUGUCUUAUAUUUUUUCUUGUAGAAUUUCGGACAAGAAUUUGUUAGAAUUUUUAGUUUAGCUUUGCGGAAUGAUUUUGUUAUGAGCCAUUCUUUCUCGUCUUAGAUCCGAUUUGAGCCCACGA
rnacentral:lncRNA from 1 species